rnacentral:rRNA from 1 species
GAUGAACGCUGGCGGCGUGCCUAAUACAUGCAAGUCGAGCGAAUGGAUUAAGAGCUUGCUCUUAUGAAGUUAGCGGCGGACGGGUGAGUAACACGUGGGUAACCUGCCCAUAAGACUGGGAUAACUCCGGGAAACCGGGGCUAAUACCGGAUAACAUUUUGAACCGCAUGGUUCGAAAUUGAAAGGCGGCUUCGGCUGUCACUUAAGGAUGGACCCGCGUCGCAUUAGCUAGUUGGUGAGGUAACGGCUCACCAAGGCAACGAUGCGUAGCCGACCUGAGAGGGUGAUCGGCCACACUGGGACUGGGACACGGCCCAGACUCCUACGGGAGGCAGCAGUAGGGAAUCUUCCGCAAUGGACGAAAGUCUGACGGAGCAACGCCGCGUGAGUGAUGAAGGCUUUCGGGUCGUAAAACUCUGUUGUUAGGGAAGAACAAGUGCUAGUUGAAUAAGCUGGCACCUUGACGGUACCUAACCAGAAAGCCACGGCUAACUACGUGCCAGCAGCCGCUGUAA